CCCUUAGAUGUUCUGGGCCGCACGCGCGCUACACUGAUGCAUUCAACGAGCCUAUCCUUGACCGACAGGUCCGGGUAAUCUUUGAAUCUGCAUCGUGACGGGGAUAGAUUAUUGCAAUUAUUAAUCUUCAACGAGGAAUGCCUAGUAGGCGCAAGUCAUCAGCUUGCGUCGAUUACGUCCCUGCCCUGUGUACACACCGCCCGUCGCUCCUACCGAUUGGGUGUGCUGGUGAAAUGUUCGGAUCGGCCGUUUGUCGCGGUUUCCGCGGCUCGUGGCUGAGAAGUUCAUUAAACCCUCCCACCUAGAGGAAGGAGAAGUCGUAACA
rnacentral:rRNA from 1 species